CCUCUCCAUGCAAACCAGAACAGUCACCAUCACACCAGCUCAGGCUCUCUGAAGAGAGUUUCUCUGGCAUACAUGGCAGGACCAUCCAGUAUUGUGAAACAGGGAGAGCUGAUAGUCACAGGGUGCGGAAAAUGUACAGACAUGUACAUACUGUAGAAUGAGAUCAUAUUCAUGUCAUGAGAGAUGUUUUACAGUUAAUCUUCGUUGUGAUUUGCCAUGCUCAGGAGGGAUAAAAUCCACAUCUGGUUACUG